CUCCUACCGAUUGAAUGA
rnacentral:siRNA from 1 species